rnacentral:rRNA from 1 species
ACUGCUCAGUAACACGUGGGUAACAUGCCCUAAGGUGGGGGAUAAUCUCGGGAAACUGAGGAUAAUACCCCAUAGGUCUGAUGUGCUGGAAUGCUUUCAGGCCGAAAACUCCGGUGCCUUAGGAUUGGCCUGCGGUCUAUCAGGCUGUAGUGGGUGUAAUGGACCCACUAGCCCGUGACGGAUAUGGGCCUUGAGAGAGGGAGCCCAGAGAUGGACUCUGAGACAUGAGUCCAGGCCCUACGGGGCGCAGCAGUCGCGAAAACUUCGCAAUGGGGGCAACCCCGACGAGGGAAUUCCAAGUGCCAGCACUUUGUGUUGGCUGUUCUCCUGUCUAAAAAACAGGAGGAGUAAGGGGCGGGUAAGACGGGUGCCAGCCGCCGCGGUAAUACCCGCGCCCCUAGUGGUGGCCGAUAUUAUUGAGCCUAAAACGUCCGUAGCCGGUCUUCUAAAUCCUUGGGUAAAUCGGGCAGCUUAACUGUCCGAAGUCCGGGGAGACUGGGAGACUUGGGACCGGGAGAGGUCAGAGGUACUUCUGGGGUAGGGGUAAAAUCCUGUAAUCCUGGAAGGACCACCGGUGGCGAAGGCGUCUGACUAGAACGGAUCCGACGGUGAGGGACGAAGCCCUGGGGCGCAACGGGAUUAGAUACCCCGGUAGUCCAGGGUGUAAACGCUGCGGGCUUGGUGUUGGGGGUCCUUAGUGGGCGCCCAGUGCCGGAGAGAAGUUGUUAAGCCUGCUGCUUGGGGGAGUAUGUCCGCAAGGAUGAAACUUAAAGGAAUUGGCGGGGGAGCAC